rnacentral:rRNA from 1 species
AGUGAACGCUGGCGGUAGGCCUAACACAUGCAAGUCGAACGGCAGCACAGUAAGAGCUUGCUCUUACGGGUGGCGAGUGGCGGACGGGUGAGGAAUACAUCGGAAUCUACUUUUUCGUGGGGGAUAACGUAGGGAAACUUACGCUAAUACCGCAUACGACCUACGGGUGAAAGCAGGGGAUCUUCGGACCUUGCGCGAUUGAAUGAGCCGAUGUCGGAUUAGCUAGUUGGCGGGGUAAAGGCCCACCAAGGCGACGAUCCGUAGCUGGUCUGAGAGGAUGAUCAGCCACACGGGAACUGAAACACGGUCCAGACUCCUACGGGAGGCAGCAGAGGGGAAUAUUGGACAAUGGGCGCAAGCCUGAUCCAGCCAUACCGCGUGGGUGAAGAAGGCCUUCGGGUUGUAAAGCCCUUUUGUUGGGAAAGAAAAGCAGCAGGUUAAUACCCCGCUGUUCUGACGGUACCCAAAGAAUAAGCACCGGCUAACUUCGUG